CUAAGCGCCGGAGCCUCCGGAACCCUGCAGCUCGAGAGGCUCGCCCGGGAACUUCCAGCUGCCGCGGCCAGAGCCCGACCCGAUGCCCCAAGCUGGCCACGGGGCGUCCCAAACCAGCUCACGCAUCCCGAGCCUCCUGCAAACGGAGCUCCCGUUUGCAGGGCCGGAGGCUCGCUGCCGGGACGGGGCUGGCCGACGGCGCGGGACGGGACACCUGCAGCUUCGCCCUCUGCGGAGAGAGAGGCGACGGCCCUUCCCGGGCGAUGCCCGCGGCCCGCCGCCCUGCAUCCAGGCGCCCCCGGGCUACGUCAGGUCCAACACCAUUGAGACAAUUACUUCCACACCGUCCCCUCUUCGCACUAGAGAAUGAGGGGAGAAAACUUCUGUUGGCUGUGAUACGUGUUUAGCAAAAUAGAUGCAAGUCUGGUGACCUGAAGGUGAAUCUCAGUUAACAUGUUGGAACCUGAUCUUCCCUGAAAGCCUGAUACAUGUGAUGAAUGUGCUUGGUAAACUGCAUAGGCCUACCAUGGUGUGAAUCAUUGUUUACACCAUUCCAGGAGCUAGGAAUAGUGGAGCAUCUGGAGUGAAACUAUUCCAGCAGGGCCUUAAAUCCAGAUGGCGGUGAAUCUUCACAUCCCCAUGCGGUCUGUCUACAACCGGUGCUCUCUAGGGCUUUUUAUUCCUUAUCACUAGGCCACUGGGGUCCCUUCUUUGCCCAAGACUUGUAAGCAUUGAGGAAGUUUAUUCAUGUCAAAAAAAAAGAAUUCACAAGUAAGGAUUGCAGGUCAGAGCUCUCAGCUGGUUUACUAUUGUACCCUCAGCCCCUCAUGUGGUAGACGCUUGGCAAUCAAAUGUGAAAAUACAGCCACGUUAGGAAAAAGGAAGAACGACCCAUGAUCUCUGCCCUCAAGGAGCUUAAGGUUUUGCCCAGGAGUAGAAAAACAUACAGAAAAACAAAGAUACUACCUUGUACUCUUAGUAAUUGCCAAGUGAGUGUGGAUAAUGAGCAUUCCAGGCCAGAGAAGCGAGAAAUGUUUCUGGCCUAGGAUGGGCAAAAAUAUGUCAGUGGAGGGAGUUUGAGCUGUGCCGUAAGGCUGAGUGCAAGAUUCAAUCAUGCAGAAAGGAGAGUGAGGAUCCUUUAGGUAAGGAGGAAAAACAUGAGAAAAACGCUUGAACCUAUUGGGCAUGAAUAUGACAUAUUGCUGACAGAGAGGGAUAGCAUAGUGGAGAAACAGGGAAAAAAGAUCAGAAUGGAUGCUGGUCAUCUGCUGCAGAAGGCCUUAAAUCCUAUCACCUUCAGUUGGGUGUGUUUACUGUAAAGAUCUCUGCAAUGAACUCUAGAGUCCCUUUCAGUUUCCAAAUACCCAUCACAUAUAUUUAUUCCAGUUUGAAAUCCCCCUUGUAUUAUUAUAUGAGACUGUGCCAAUUUAUAAAACGCUUAAAUAUUUCAGCUCCAGGUGGUGAUCAGUCACUUUCUUGAGCCCUAGAAUGACACUCCAUACUCCAAACUUCCUCCUGAAACAGCAACUAAAGGUCCACUAGAGGUCGUCCAGGACACCUUUGGUCAACACAGCUCUGUUAUGGCUUACGCCAGACCACCCCUGGUGUUAAUACCUUUUGAAUCACACCAUGAACCUACUCUGCUCCCAAAUAGAACUCAUGGGUUCUUUUUCCCAGUUUCUUGGUCUUCACAUUCUUUUACAUAGCUUCUCAGUGUAAGACUGAGGAGUUUAGACUUUAUCUCAUGGAUUCUAUGGCACUGAGCAGUAGUGUAAAACUCAAUAUCCCUAAGGGCCUUUGGAACACUGGCUUGGGUUAAGGUGAUAAAGGUCAAUUGCCACACAGCCAUAGUAGAAGGCAGACAAUAGGGAAUGUAAAAAUGUGUAAACAGUAGAGCUAUGCCUCUAUCUAGUUCAAAUCAAGCAAUGUCACAACUCAGUAACUUUGUACUUGCUGUACCCUCCAUCUGGAAUACCCUUCCUCUGCAAUGCUAUCCUGCGGAACUUGCUGCAAUGGUGGUAAUGUUCUCUCUCUGUCUAGCCAGUAGCCAUUUGUGGCUUUUGAGCCCUUGAAAUGUGGCUGGUGUCCUUGAAAAAUCAAAUUUUUAAUUUAAAUUUAAUUUUAAUUAAUAUAAACAGCCACAUAUGGCUCUGGGCUAUUCUAUUGGAAAGCAAGGUUAUAGAAAUCCUUGUUUCCCUUCCUAUAUUCCUUUAUUUAUUUAUAUAUAUAUAUAUAUAUAUUUUUUUUUUUAACUAAAAUGUCUCUAUUUCAACAAGGCCUUCCAUUGACCAUGUGAUUUAAAAUUGCAGCCCUUCCCAUCCACUCCUCUAUCUCCUUCUAACCUUCCACAGAACAUAUUGCCAUCCAAGAUUCCAUAUAUUUUACUUAUUCAUUUCAUCUAUUAUCUGCUUUUCCAAAAGAAUGUAAAUUUUACCAGGAUCUGAUUUUUGUUCCUUUUGUCCAGUACCAAGAACAUACCAGUUGGAGAAUUUUUCCACAUAUGAGAACUCGGUUUUUCAAAAGGAGCUUAAUCUUGAUUUAAUCCAAUUUUGCAAUAUUGGAAGAUUUUUUUUUUUUUAAAGCAUGUAAAUCCUAUACAUGCCAACAUCACCCAAGUCAAACAGAGCCACUCAGGUACCGGAGCCUAUUUUUACUUAAGAGAAUGACAAUCCUAUCAAGGCUAAAGUUUAUGGAAAUAGCAAUGAGUCCAGCUUCCUUUCUAUGGGAAGCCCAAGCCACCUGGAGAAACCAUGUGGAGGUGCCUUGGCAGCUGAGCUCUCAUCCAUCAAACACCAUCAACUGCUGACCAUUUGUAAGCCAUUUUGGACACAGAGUCCCGCUGAGUCUUCACAUCACUUUUGCACAAGCCAACAUCUGACUACAAUUACAUGUAUAUAAAAAAACCAAAGCAAGAACUACCCAGCUGAGCCCAAUCAACCCACCAAACCAUGAGAGAUAAUAAUAAAUUGUUUUAAGCCACUAAGUUUAGAGGCAUUUGUUGUACAACAAUAGGUGACCAGACAUGUAGUUCAGAAAAGUAUGAAGAACAUACUCCCUUGUGAACAAAAAGGAGGGAAAUUUAUAUCCAUUAUUGUAUAUGUGAAGAAACUUGAAAUUACUUGCAAAUGGUCAGAACUGGCUAUGUGGGGAAAGGAAAGAAGGGAGAUCUUUCAUGUGUAACUUUUUGUAUUUUUUGUUUUUUAAAAACAUG